ACGAGACGGGAUGGAAUGACCCUUCGGGGGAAUGAAAUCCUAGAAAGUGGCGAACGGGUGAGUAACGCGUGGGUAACCUGCCCUAUGGAAAGGAAUAGCCUCGGGAAACUGGGAGUAAUGCCUUAUAAUAUACGAGAGUCGCAUGGCUUUUGUAUUAAACGCUCCGGUGCCAUAGGAUGGACCCGCGUCCCAUUAGCUAGUUGGUGAGAUAACAGCCCACCAAGGCAACGAUGGGUAACCGGUCUGAGAGGGCGAACGGUCACACUGGAACUGAGACACGGUCCAGACUCCUACGGGAGGCAGCAGUGGGGAAUAUUGCGCAAUGGGGGCAACCCUGACGCAGCAAUACCGCGUGAGUGAAGAAGGUUUUCGGAUCGUAAAGCUCUGUUAUUGGGGAAGAAAAAAGACGGUACCCAAGAAGAAAGUCCCGGCUAACUACGUGCCAGCAGCCGCGGUAAUACGUAGGGGACAAGCGUUGUCCGGAUUUACUGGGCGUAAAGGGCACGCAGGCGGUUUUUUAAGUCAGAUGUGAAAGGUACCGGCUCAACCGGUGACAUGCAUUUGAAACUGAAAGACUUGAGUAUUGGAGAGGCAAGUGGAAUUCCUAGUGUAGCGGUGAAAUGCGUAGAUAUUAGGAGGAACACCGGUGGCGAAGGCGGCUUGCUGGACAAAUACUGACGCUGAGGUGCGA
rnacentral:rRNA from 2 species